AGAUUGAACGCUGGCGGCAGGCCUAACACAUGCAAGUCGAGCGGUAGAGAGGUGCUUGCACCUCUUGAGAGCGGCGGACGGGUGAGUAAUGCCUAGGAAUCUGCCUAGUGGUGGGGGAUAACGUUCGGAAACGGACGCUAAUACCGCAUACGUCCUACGGGAGAAAGCGGGGGACCUUCGGGCCUCGCGCCAUUAGAUGAGCCUAGGUCGGAUUAGCUAGUUGGUGAGGUAAUGGCUCGACCAAGGCGACGAUCCGUAACUGGUCUGAGAGGAUGAUCAGUCACACUGGAACUGAGACACGGUCCAGACUCCGUACGGGAGCAGCAGUGGGGGAAUUA
rnacentral:rRNA from 1 species